UACAGAGGUCCCAAGCGUUGUUCGGAUUUACUGGGCGUAAAGGGUGCGUAGGUGGUGAGGUAAGUCUGAUGUGAAAUCUCCGAGCUUAACUCGGAAAUGGCAUUGGAAACUACCUUGCUAGAGGGUUGGAGGGGGGACUGGAAUACUUGGUGUAGCAGUGAAAUGCGUAGAUAUCAAGUGGAACACCAGUGGCGAAGGCGAGUCCCUGGACGAACUCCUGACACUGAGGCACGAAAGCUAGGGGAGCAAACAGG
rnacentral:rRNA from 1 species